rnacentral:rRNA from 1 species
UACGUAGGGUGCAAGCGUUAAUCGGAAUUACUGGGCGUAAAGCGUGCGCAGGCGGUUCUAUAAGACAGAUGUGAAAUCCCCGGGCUCAACCUGGGGAACUGCAUUUGUGACUGUAGAGCUGGAGUACGGCAGAGGGGGAUGGAAUUCCGCGUGUAGCAGUGAAAUGCGUAGAUAUGCGGAGGAACACCGAUGGCGAAGGCAAUCCCCUGGGCCUGUACUGACGCUCAUGCACGAAAGCGUGGGGAGCAAACGGG